rnacentral:tRNA from 1 species
UUUGCUCCGGUUUGAGUCGGGAGUCGCGCAGCGCCUGCUCAAUGGGCGUGCGCAGCCGGUUGAGCAACGGUAGCCA